AUUGAACGCUGGCGGCAUGCCUUACACAUGCAAGUCGAACGGUAACAGGUCUUCGGAUGCUGACGAGUGGCGAACGGGUGAGUAAUACAUCGGAACGUGCCUAGUAGUGGGGGAUAACUACUCGAAAGAGUGGCUAAUACCGCAUGAGAUCUACGGAUGAAAGCAGGGGAUCGAAAGACCUUGUGCUACUAGAGCGGCCGAUGGCAGAUUAGGUAGUUGGUGGGAUAAAAGCUUACCAAGCCGACGAUCAGUAGCUGGUCUGAGAGGACGAUCAGCCACACUGGGACUGAGGCACGGCCCAGACUCCUACGGGAGGCAGCAGUGGGGAAUUUUGGACAAUGGGCGAAAGCCUGAUCCAGCAAUGCCGCGUGCAGGAUGAAGGCCUUCGGGUUGUAAACUGCUUUUGUACGGAACGAAAAGCCCUGGGUUAAUACCCUGGGGUCAUGACGGUACCGUAAGAAUAAGCACCGGCUAACUACGUGCCAGCAGCCGCGGUAACAC
rnacentral:rRNA from 1 species